CACACCCGUGUCUUCCACCAAGAGGAAGCCGCCGCCGAUGCCGCCUCCGCCUGCAUACCCGCUCCCGCCCGCGCCCGCCGCGCUUGCCGGUGCCCCCGCCCCGGCCAAGGUUUGUGUCGCUACUCGCUAGACUAGAAUUCCGCGCGCGGACCUUUGCCGGCCGAGCCGUUCUGCGGCAUCUCGACGGGGACAACCAUGCGAAUUUCCUUGGCGUCCACGUUGACGCCACCUGAGCCACCACCGGUGAAGGCCGGCUGGCCGCUGACCUCCGAGACAGGGGAGGCGCCCGAGCUCCACAACGGCCGCGGGCCUCGACGACUGGGCUAAGGCCGAGCGCUCGUCGAAGUUGGACUGCCGCUGCGUCAGCCCCCUCGACCGCUGCGACACCGACAACCAGCGCACCGUGACGUGGAGCCUAUCGUCCUCCGCCACCUCGGCCUCCAUCUCGGCGCGCCCGCCCUACAGCGACAACACGUCCGGGUCCACAUGCAGCGACGCGAUGGCUGCCGUGGUGUCAGGGAACUGGUCCACGAUGAGCGUCCGCGCGGCGCAGAACUUGAAGAGGAACAGCAGCAGUGUGUACCAUAUGAUGCACUGGAGGGCAGGCUUGAGCACGCGGCCAGCCUCGCGAGGACGACCAGCUUCUGCAGCGUGUCCGCUGCCAGGAACCGGAGAUUCAUGGCGUACAGGUCGUUGGUGGAGAUGAAGUGGAAGGAUUUGAAUCAAGGUUCAUUUAUUUUCAGGCGUGGAAAGUAUUGCAGAUAGAUGUCUCUAUUUUCACGUCAUCAUUAGUUGAUGUUCAGGUAUAUUGUCUUUAACAUCUAUGUAUUUUCUAUGAAUAAAUUAUCUCAUGGAAGUUAUAUUCCUUUUCUAGAAAUCGUUGGAGAGAAUGUUAUCCAAAGGAAAUAUUUUAAUUGGCCAUAGCUUACAUAGAGAUUUAUGCGCCUUAAAGAUUGAUUACUCUCAAGUUAUUGAUACAACAUACAUAUUUAAGUAUGCAAAUUUACCGACUACUGCAUCACCUUCCUUGAACAGUCUGUGCAAGGCUGUUUUGGAGUAUUUAGUUCGAGAAGAAGGAGAACCACAUAAUUGCUUAAAGGAUGCAGAAGCUGCAAUGAAUCUAGUUCUUGCAAAGCUUAAGAAUGAGUUUAAUGACCCCAUUGAAAUUGCUGCAAGUAUUGUAAGCGCCAAAAAAAGAUGUUCUUAAAUCUUACCAUUAGUAUAGAUGAUGCCACCUUACUUCUUUGUGGUACCUUCCUAGGUAACUGAAUCUGAUUUUGUGAAGUUGCUCGCUCAUAGAAUUCUAGUGUCUUAUUAUGACUAUGGAUGAGACUUUUGUGAUGUAAUUGAUGAGACUAUGGAUUUAAAUAUUAUUAUGUGAUUGUGUGU